UACAGAGGUCUCAAGCGUUGUUCGGAUUCAUUGGGCGUAAAGGGUGCGUAGGCGGCGCGGUAAGUCGGGUGUGAAAUCUUGGAGCUUAACUCCGAAACUGCAUUCGAUACUGCCGUGCUUGAGGACUGGAGAGGAGACUGGAAUUUACGGUGUAGCGGUGAAAUGCGUAGAUAUCGUAAGGAAGACCAGUGGCGAAGGCGGGUCUCUGGACAGUUCCUGACGCUGAGGCACGAAGGUCAGGGUAGCGAACGGG
rnacentral:rRNA from 1 species